rnacentral:rRNA from 2 species
UACGUAGGUGGCAAGCGUUGUCCGGAUUUAUUGGGCGUAAAGCGAGUGCAGGCGGUUCAAUAAGUCUGAUGUGAAAGCCUUCGGCUCAACCGGAGAAUUGCAUCAGAAACUGUUGAACUUGAGUGCAGAAGAGGAGAGUGGAACUCCAUGUGUAGCGGUGGAAUGCGUAGAUAUAUGGAAGAACACCAGUGGCGAAGGCGGCUCUCUGGUCUGCAACUGACGCUGAGGCUCGAAAGCAUGGGUAGCGA